GAUGAAGAACGUAGCGAAAUGCGAUACGUAAUGUGAAUUGCAGAAUUCAGUGAAUCAUCGAAUCUUUGAACGCAUAUUGCGCUCUUUGGUAUUCCGAAGAGCAUGCUUGUUUGAGUAUCAGUAAACACCUCAAAGCUUUUGGAUUUUUUAAUCGAAAAGCUUUGGACUUGAGCAAUCCCAACGCCAAUCUUUUUGAGAUCAGUGGCGGGUUGCUUGAAAUGCAGGUGCAGCUGGACAUUCUCCUGAGCUAAAAGCAUAUUCAUUUAGUCCCGUCAAACGGAUUAUUACUUUUGCUGCAGCUAACAUAAAGGGAGUUUGACCGUAUUGGCUGACUGAUGCAGGAUUUCACAAGGGUCGGCAACGAUUCUUGUUAAACUCGAUCUCAAAUCAAGUAAGACUACCCGCUGAACUUAAGCAUAUCAAUAAGCGGAGGA
rnacentral:misc_RNA from 1 species